rnacentral:rRNA from 1 species
UCAUUAACUGAAUCCAUAGGUUAAUGAGGCGAACCGGGGGAACUGAAACAUCUAAGUACCCCGAGGAAAAGAAAUCAACCGAGAUUCCCCCAGUAGCGGCGAGCGAACGGGGAGCAGCCCAGAGCCUGAAUCAGUGUGUGUGUUAGUGGAAGCGUCUGGAAAGGCGCGCGAUACAGGGUGACAGCCCCGUACACAAAAAUGCACAUGCUGUGAGCUCGAUGAGUAGGGCGGGACACGUGGUAUCCUGUCUGAAUAUGGGGGGACCAUCCUCCAAGGCUAAAUACUCCUGACUGACCGAUAGUGAACCAGUACCGUGAGGGAAAGGCGAAAAGAACCCCGGCGAGGGGAGUGAAAAAGAACCUGAAACCGUGUACGUACAAGCAGUGGGAGCACGCUUAGGCGUGUGACUGCGUACCUUUUGUAUAAUGGGUCAGCGACUUAUAUUCUGUAGCAAGGUUAACCGAAUAGGGGAGCCGAAGGGAAACCGAGUCUUAACUGGGCGUUAAGUUGCAGGGUAUAGACCCGAAACCCGGUGAUCUAGCCAUGGGCAGGUUGAAGGUUGGGUAACACUAACUGGAGGACCGAACCGACUAAUGUUGAAAAAUUAGCGGAUGACUUGUGGCUGGGGGUGAAAGGCCAAUCAAACCGGGAGAUAGCUGGUUCUCCCCGAAAGCUAUUUAGGUAGCGCCUCGUGAAUUCAUCUCCGGGGGUAGAGCACUGUUUCGGCAAGGGGGUCAUCCCGACUUACCAACCCGAUGCAAACUGCGAAUACCGGAGAAUGUUAUCACGGGAGACACACGGCGGGUGCUAACGUCCGUCGUGAAGAGGGAAACAACCCAGACCGCCAGCUAAGGUCCCAAAGUCAUGGUUAAGUGGGAAACGAUGUGGGAAGGCCCAGACAGCCAGGAUGUUGGCUUAGAAGCAGCCAUCAUUUAAAGAAAGCGUAAUAGCUCACUGGUCGAGUCGGCCUGCGCGGAAGAUGUAACGGGGCUAAACCAUGCACCGAAGCUGCGGCAGCGACGCUGAUGCGUUGUUGGGUAGGGGAGCGUUCUGUAAGCCUGUGAAGGUGUGCUGUGAGGCAUGCUGGAGGUAUCAGAAGUGCGAAUGCUGACAUAAGUAACGAUAAAGCGGGUGAAAAGCCCGCUCGCCGGAAGACCAAGGGUUCCUGUCCAACGUUAAUCGGGGCAGGGUGAGUCGACCCCUAAGGCGAGGCCGAAAGGCGUAGUCGAUGGGAAACAGGUUAAUAUUCCUGUACUUGGUGUUACUGCGAAGGGGGGACGGAGAAGGCUAUGUUGGCCGGGCGACGGUUGUCCCGGUUUAAGCGUGUAGGCUGGUUUUCCAGGCAAAUCCGGAAAAUCAAGGCUGAGGCGUGAUGACGAGGCACUACGGUGCUGAAGCAACAAAUGCCCUGCUUCCAGGAAAAGCCUCUAAGCAUCAGGUAACAUCAAAUCGUACCCCAAACCGACACAGGUGGUCAGGUAGAGAAUACCAAGGCGCUUGAGAGAACUCGGGUGAAGGAACUAGGCAAAAUGGUGCCGUAACUUCGGGAGAAGGCACGCUGAUAUGUAGGUGAAGUCCCUCGCGGAUGGAGCUGAAAUCAGUCGAAGAUACCAGCUGGCUGCAACUGUUUAUUAAAAACACAGCACUGUGCAAACACGAAAGUGGACGUAUACGGUGUGACGCCUGCCCGGUGCCGGAAGGUUAAUUGAUGGGGUCAGCGCAAGCGAAGCUCUUGAUCGAAGCCCCGGUAAACGGCGGCCGUAACUAUAACGGUCCUAAGGUAGCGAAAUUCCUUGUCGGGUAAGUUCCGACCUGCACGAAUGGCGUAAUGAUGGCCAGGCUGUCUCCACCCGAGACUCAGUGAAAUUGAACUCGCUGUGAAGAUGCAGUGUACCCGCGGCAAGACGGAAAGACCCCGUGAACCUUUACUAUAGCUUGACACUGAACAUUGAGCCUUGAUGUGUAGGAUAGGUGGGAGGCUUUGAAGUGUGGACGCCAGUCUGCAUGGAGCCGGCCUUGAAAUACCACCCUUUAAUGUUUGAUGUUCUAACGUUGACCCGUGAUCCGGGUUGCGGACAGUGUCUGGUGGGUAGUUUGACUGGGGCGGUCUCCUCCUAAAGAGUAACGGAGGAGCACGAAGGUUGGCUAAUCCUGGUCGGACAUCAGGAGGUUAGUGCAAUGGCAUAAGCCAGCUUGACUGCGAGCGUGACGGCGCGAGCAGGUGCGAAAGCAGGUCAUAGUGAUCCGGUGGUUCUGAAUGGAAGGGCCAUCGCUCAACGGAUAAAAGGUACUCCGGGGAUAACAGGCUGAUACCGCCCAAGAGUUCAUAUCGACGGCGGUGUUUGGCACCUCGAUGUCGGCUCAUCACAUCCUGGGGCUGAAGUAGGUCCCAAGGGUAUGGCUGUUCGCCAUUUAAAGUGGUACGCGAGCUGGGUUUAGAACGUCGUGAGACAGUUCGGUCCCUAUCUGCCGUGGGCGCUGGAGAACUGAGGGGGGCUGCUCCUAGUACGAGAGGACCGGAGUGGACGCAUCACUGGUGUUCGGGUUGUCAUGCCAAUGGCACUGCCCGGUAGCUAAAUGCGGAAGAGAUAAGUGCUGAAAGCAUCUAAGCACGAAACUUGCCCCGAGAUGAGUUCUCCCUGACUCCUUGAGAGUCCUGAAGGAACGUUGAAGACGACGACGUUGAUAGGCCGGGUGUGUAAGCGCAGCGAUGCGUUGAGCUAACCGGUACUAAUGAACCGUGAG